AAUCGUAUAAACAAAAUUUGGAAAUAGUGUAGGCAUUAUAUUCCUUUUAGAGUUAAAUAAUCCAUGUGGCUUUUUUGUCUUCUUUUUCCUUUUUUUUUUCUUUUUUUUACUGUUUUUGUCUACCCGAACUUGACCUACUUGACCUACAUCUGUUGAGAGUAAAGAUGGACAAAGCCCACAGAGAUAAAACAGUGAAGGAUUCCAUCCUCUUUGAGAUGCACUCAGAAACAGGAACUGACAAUCUGUAAGAGACUUCCACUAGAUUCAUGUCAUGAAUCUACUGUGAUAGUGAAGAAUCCUGGAAGUAAUUAUGUGUAGAGCCAUUUGGCAUGCCAGCUACUGCAGGGAGANNNNNNNNNNUUGACAGGUAAGAGUAAAAUUUUCAGUUCAGUAAAACCAUCUUUAUCAGUGGGUUGGGCUAUUAUUUUUAACCAAACCAUUUCAUCUUACCAUCAUGAUCGACUAACGUCUUUUGCAGCAUUAGUGGUCUAAGUCCAUUCCCUUUCUGACAUAUUGUUUUCUGUGUUUUCCUCUUCUUUUUUUCUAGUUACAGCAUAGCAGUAAUAAGAGAUUGCUGCAUAUAUCAGAACAGUAAAGGGCCUUAAUAUUCUCUGAAGUUCUCUGAUUCUUAAAUCUAUUAUAUAGACACUUUCCCCUCCUUUUCUGAAGAUUAAAAAGAAAUUCAUGUUGUUCUACAUAAAAGGAGAUUGCUGUAAGUGUGAACUUGGAUUUUUCUCCUCUAAUUGCAAAGUAUAAGCUGCAAAGCUGCAAUGUUAUUUAAUAAUUCAUGUCUGCGACAAUGAUAAUCACAAUGUGAAAUGACCUGAUACCUAUUAUUUGUAUUCUUGUUUAUAUAUAGGUAUUAUUUUCUUAUUGAAAAUUUGUUUAUUUAUUUAUUGAAGAAAACCUUUAAAGUAAACUUUGUUUGAUUUUCUGUAAUUCCAUUUUUCCUCUCUACUUCAUCUCUCAGACUUUUAGGUCUCAGUUCAUGUAUUUAUAAAUCC
rnacentral:lncRNA from 1 species